GGCAACACUGGAGAAGACCUAGUGGCGAACGGGUGAGUAACACGUGAGGAACCUGCCCCGAAGACCGGGAUAACCCUCCGAAAGGAGAGCUAAUACCGGAUGUCCCCACCGGAUCGCAUGGCCUGGUGAGGAAAUGGAUUCCGCUUCGGGAGGGCCUCGCGGCCUAUCAGCUUGUUGGUGGGGUAACGGCCUACCAAGGCAUCGACGGGUAGCUGGUCUGAGAGGACGAUCAGCCACACUGGGACUGAGACACGGCCCAGACUCCUACGGGAGGCAGCAGUGGGGAAUCUUGCGCAAUGGGCGAAAGCCUGACGCAGCAACGCCGCGUGGGGGAUGAGGGCUUUCGGGUUGUAAACCCCUUUCAGUAGGGACGAAUUCAGACGGUACCUACAGAAGAAGCCCCGGCCAACUACGUGCCAGCAGCCGCGGUAACACGUAGGGGGCAAGCGUUGUCCGGAUUUAUUGGGCGUAAAGAGCUCGUAGGCUGUUCGGUAAGUCGGGUGUGAAACCCCCAGGCUCAACCUGGGGACGCCACCUGAUACUGCUGUGACUCGAGUCCGGUAGGGGAGCGUGGAAUUCCUGGUGUAGCGGUGAAAUGCGCAGAUAUCAGGAGGAACACCAGCGGCGAAGGCGGCGCUCUGGGCCGGUACUGACGCUGAGGAGCGAAAGCGUGGGUAGCAAA
rnacentral:rRNA from 1 species